UAUCCAAAAUGGGUUUUUCCAAGUGCUCAAUCUUUGCUAUUCUCUUCAUUGCUAUAUCAUUUUCAAGCAUGGAUGUUAACGUAGCAGCUCGUCAUCUUCUGCAAUUGCCUCCAUUGCCUUCUGUGCCAAAUUUGCCAAAAACUACAUUGCCACCAUUGCCUAACAAAAUCCCAACUCUGCCUCAGCCCACAUUGCCAACCACACAACCUUCUUUCCCUAACCCAACUACACUGCCUCCACUUCCUAGCUUGCCUACUGUUCCUAAGGUCACUUUGCCUCCAUUACCAAGCAUGCCCUCGUUUCCUACUAUUCCAAG
rnacentral:lncRNA from 1 species